GACGAACGCUGGCGGCGUGCUUAACACAUGCAAGUCGAACGGGCCCGCCCCUGUUUUUGGGGGUGGGUUGAGUGGCGAACGGGUGAGUAUCACGUGAGUAACCUGCCCCCUGCUCCUGGAUAACUGCUUGAAAGGGCGGCUAAUACGGGGUGUGCCGGCUGGUCCGCAUGGGCCUGGUCGGGAUAGUUUCAUCUUCGGGUGUUUCGGUGGGGGAUGGGCUCGCGGCCUAUCAGCUUGUUGGUGGGGUGAUGGCCCACCAAGGCGGUGACGGGUAGCCGGCGUGGGGGGGUGGGCGGCCACGCUGGGACUGAGACACGGCCCAGACUCCUGCGGGAGGCAGCGGUGGGGGGUAUUGCACGAUGGGCGGAAGCCUGAUGCAGCGACGUCGCGUGAGGGAUGGAGGCCUUCGGGUUGUGAACCUCUUUCUCCGGUGGUGAAGGCCCUGUCCGUUGCGGCGGGGUUGACGGUAGCCGGGUAUGAAGCGCCGGCUAACUACGUG
rnacentral:rRNA from 1 species